UAUAACAAAAAAAAAAGAGAGAGAAAACUCAAAGAAUAUCAUGGAGGUAUCAAGAUUGUUCGACGUAUGACCAUUAUUAGCAGAUAAGAAAAAGAAAUCGAGAGGAAAACGACGAGGCACAACAAGAAUGGAGAAAGAAUCGAGAUGGUGGAAUAUUUCGGUGGAAGGCGACGAGAGAUCGGUCGCUUUUUCUUUCGCCGGUUGUGGGUCGAUCUGGUGCGCCACGUCAGUCGUUGGAAUUAAUUUUGAUAUAAAUACCUCGUUACAUCACGAACUUACUCCAAUUAUGGGAAAGUAGAAUUUUUCUUUUAAAUUUU